rnacentral:rRNA from 1 species
GAUGAACGCUGGCGGCGUGCCUAAUACAUGCAAGUCGAGCGAAUGGAUUAAGAGCUUGCUCUUAUGAAGUUAGCGGCGGACGGGUGAGUAACACGUGGGUAACCUGCCCAUAAGACUGGGAUAACUCCGGGAAACCGGGGCUAAUACCGGAUAACAUUUUGAACCGCAUGGUUCGAAAUUGAAAGGCGGCUUCGGCUGUCACUUAUGGAUGGACCCGCGUCGCAUUAGCUAGUUGGUGAGGUAACGGCUCACCAAGGCAACGAUGCGUAGCCGACCUGAGAGGGUGAUCGGCCACACUGGGACUGAGCCACGGCACAGACUCCUACGGGAGGCAGCAGGAGGGAAUCUUCCGCAAUGGACGAAAGUCUGACGGAGCAACGCCGCGUGAGUGAUGAAGGCUUUCGGGUCGUAAAACUCUGUUGUUAGGGAAGAACAAGUGCUAGUUGAAUAAGCUGGCACCUUGACGGUACCUAACCAGAAAGCCACGGCUAACUACGUGCCAGCCGCCGCGGUAA